AUGCUGGGAAGAGGGGGCUCUGCAUCGGUGUAUCGGGGCAAAUUGACCAAUCCAGACAAACUAGUGGCGAUAAAGAGGUUCAAUGGGCAAGCAUCAGACACCGAAAAGGGGUUGUUCCAGGCUGAAAUCAAGGCCAUCAGUGGACUGAGGCAUCGAAACCUGGUAGAGUUAGUAGGCUGGUGCAAUGAUGUCGGCAACAACCAUCUCUUGCUAGUUUACGAGCUUGUAUCACAGGGUAGCCUCGCCGAACACUUGCAUGGGGACAAGAGCUGGUUGUCAUGGCCCAAGAGGUACAGGAUCAUCCUUGACACAGGGUGUGCCUUAGAAUACAUCCACAAACAAUGCAAUGAUUGUGUCUUGCACGGUGACAUUAAACCUUGUAACAUAUUGCUCGACGAAAGGUAUCAAGCUAAGAUUACAGACUUCGGUUUGGCAAGGCUGAUUGAUCACGAAACACAGCAAAAGACGACACAAUAUCCAGCCGGGACCCCAGGGUAUAUAGACCCGGAAUUUUUGGAAACGGGCAAGCGGAGUAGGGAGUCAGAUGUCUACAGCUUUGGCAUCGUUUUGCUGGAGAUUGUUUCAGGCCGGCGUCCAGCUGGCAGCCGAUUGCUAACAGAGGUAAGGAAUCGGCACCGCAGACAUGCGAUCAAUGAAGCAAUAUACCCACGGCUGCUGGACGAGUCAACCAGCAGGGAUCACGACGAACGCAAGAUGGAGCGUGUGCUGCUCAUCGGGCUCUGGUGCACACACCCCGACCCAACCAAGCGUCCACUCAUCAUAGAAGCCAUGAAGACACUCGAAUCAGAUGAUGAGAAUUUGGAGAUCCCUGCACUGCCGCAUCAUGUGGCCGAGCCAUUAGGUCACAGCGCCUCCUCAAGUGAGACUUCUAGCGUGCACGCCUCCACAGCUCAU
rnacentral:rRNA from 1 species